ACUCAAAUGAAUUGACGGGGGCCCGCACAAGCGGUGGAGUAUGUGGCUCAAUUCGAUGCAACGCGAAGAACCUUACCUGGGCUUGACAUGCAUCGUGUCGCCGGUGAAAGCCGGCUAGUGUAGCAAUACACGCUUUGCACAGGUGCUGCAUGGCUGUCGUCAGCUCGUGUCGUGAGAUGUUGGGUUAAGUCCCGCAACGAGCGCAACCCUUGUGAACUGUUGCUACCCAGCACCAUUUUGUUUCCAACCGGUCCAACCGGGGAACAAAUGGGGGCAAAAUGGUGCUGGGGCACUCUGUUCAGACUGCCCUGUGAAACGGGGAGGAAGGUGGGGAUGACGUCAAGUCAGGAUGGCCCUUACGCCCAGGGCUGCACACGUACUACAAUGCCCAGUACAGAACGAACCGAAAUCGCGAGGUGGAGGAAAUCACUAAAACUGGGCCCAGUUCGGAUUGUAGGCUGCAACUCGCCUACAUGAAGCCGGAAUCGCUAGUAAUGGCGUAUCAGCUACGACGCCGUGAAUACGUUCCCGGGCCUUGCACACACCGCCCGU
rnacentral:rRNA from 1 species